CAGUAGCCGCGGUAAAACGUAGGUCCCGAGCGUUGUCCGGAUUUAUUGGGCGUAAAGCGAGCGCAGGCGGUUAGAUAAGUCUGAAGUUAAAGGCUGUGGCUUAACCAUAGUACGCUUUGGAAACUGUUUAACUUGAGUGCAAGAGGGGAGAGUGGAAUUCCACGUGUAGCGGUGAAAUGCGUAGAUAUAUGGAGGAACACCGGUGGCGAAAGCGGCUCUCUGGCUUGUAACUGACGCUGAGGCUCGAAAGCGUGGGGAGCAAACAGGAUUAGAUACCCCUGUAGUCCCUGUCUCUUAUACA
rnacentral:rRNA from 1 species